UACAGAGGUCCCAAGCGUUGUUCGGAUUCAUUGGGCGUAAAGGGUGCGUAGGCGGCGGGGUAAGUCAGGUGUGAAAUCCCGGAGCUCAACUCCGGAACUGCACUUGAUACUGCCUUGCUCGAGUACUGGAGAGGAGACUGGAAUUUACGGUGUAGCAGUGAAAUGCGUAGAUAUCAGGAGGAACACCGGUGGCGAAGGCGGGUCUCUGGGCCGAUACUGACGCUGAGGAGCGAAAGCGUGGGGAGCGAACAGG
rnacentral:rRNA from 1 species